GCCUGGGUGGCUCAGUCAGUUGAGCGCCCGACUUCAGCUCAGGUCAUGAUCUCGCAGUCUGGGUUCGAGCCCCGCGCCGGGCU
rnacentral:tRNA from 1 species